AAGUUUGCUUAAUUUGACGAAAUCAAGAGGUGGAAUAAUAAUACUAAAGAAAAGUGUGAUUCGAGAAGCGAAUAGAAAAGGAAAGAAAAGGUAGUGAGAGAAGGAGAACGAUGCAACCCCUUUGGGCCUUCUUCCACUGAUUCCUUGCUAUUUUUGUGACCGUACCAUUCUUUUUGUGUUCUGAACCUCCCACUCUUCCCCCUUAUUAUAUAACCCCUUCCACUUUCGCUCCAAUUCAACCCAUUUCAAUUCUCUUCAGUUCAGCCAUGGCUGUCACUGCCUCCUCUGCCACUUCCUCAAUCUUCUCGCUCUCACCCAACCGAAGCCCCAUUUCCAACUCCAGACCCUUCAUUCUUCAACCCCUCAAACGCCACUUCCCCUUACUCAAAUCCCUCAAACGCACCCCACCCCACUUCAAAUCAAACCCUAUUUCCUCCUCUGCACUCACUUCCUUCCCUUCACAAACCCACGAGCUUCUCGUUCCUUCCAAGCUUCAGUACCUGGCCCAAGAGUUCCGCUCCUUGCCGGAACCGGUUGACCGGGUAAAACGGUUACUGCAAUACGCGGGGAUGAUGGCGCCGAUGGACGACUCGGGUCGGGUUGACUCGAACAGGGUCAUGGGCUGCACUGCUCGAGUUUGGAUGGAGGUGAGGCUUGACGAGGAGGGGAAGGUGAGGGUGGUGGCGGAUAGUGAUUCGGAAAUUACUAAAGGGUUCUGCUCGUGUUUGGUUUGGGUGAUUGAUGGGUCGGAACCAGAGGAAGUUCUGAAAGUGACAACGGAUGAUUUGGUGGCUCUGAAUGUGGGGUUGCCAGUAACAGGGCGUUCGAGGGUGAACACGUGGCACAACGUGCUUGUUAGCAUGCAGAAGAGGACCAAGCAGUUGGUGGCUGAAAGGGAAGGGAAAGUGCCCUUUGAGCCUUUUCCCUCUUUGGUUGUUUCCGCUGAUGGAGUUUUUCCCAAGGGUAGCUACGCUGAAGCCCAGGCAAAGUACUUGUUCCCUAAUGAAUUAAGAGUUAAUGAACUAGUCAAUGUGCUGAAGGAGAAGAAAAUUGGUGUUGUUGCACACUUUUACAUGGAUCCUGAAGUUCAAGGAGUUUUAACGGCUGCUCAGAAGCAGUGGCCACAUAUCUAUAUAUCUGAUUCACUGGUCAUGGCAGAUACAGCAGUCAAAAUGGCAAAAGCCGGAUGCCAAUUCAUAACAGUGCUAGGUGUGGAUUUUAUGUCAGAAAAUGUGCGUGCUGUCCUUGAUCAAGCUGGUUUUAAUGAGGUUGGCGUGUAUAGGAUGUCAAAUGAGCGUAUUGGCUGUUCUCUGGCCGAUGCUGCAGCUACUCCUACUUAUAUGGAGUAUCUUGAGGCUGCUUCUAGGUCUACUUCUUUGCAUGUGAUAUACAUUAACACUAAGUUGGAGACAAAGGCGUAUGCUCAUGAGCUUGUGCCAACAAUAACCUGUACUUCAUCAAAUGUUGUCCAGACUAUUCUACAGGCAUUUGCUCAAGUUCCAGAUUUGAGCAUAUGGUAUGGACCUGAUUCUUACAUGGGUGCAAAUAUUAAAGAAUUAUUCCAACAGAUGACAAACAUGACUGAUGAAGAGAUUGCUGCGAUACAUCCUGAGCACAGUGAAGCCUCUAUUAGAUCAUUACUACCACGACUUCACUAUUUUCAGGAUGGAACAUGCAUUGUUCACCAUCUAUUUGGCCAUGAAGUUGUGGAGAAGAUAAAAGAAAUGUAUUGUGAUGCAUUCCUUACGGCUCAUCUUGAGGUACCUGGAGAGAUGUUUUCAUUAGCAAUGGAAGCAAAGAGAAGGGGAAUGGGUGUUGUUGGCUCCACACAGAAUAUUUUGGAUUUCAUAAAAGAUAGGGUUCAGGAAGCUUUGGAUAGAAACAUAAAUGAUCAUCUCCAGUUUGUUUUAGGAACAGAAUCAGGGAUGGUGACUUCAAUUGUGGCAGCAGUUCGUAGUUUGUUGGAGUCUGCAAAGCCUUCUUCUCAAAACGAAAAGGUGACUGUUGAAAUAGUCUUCCCAGUUUCAUCAGAAUCAAUUUCAAGAACAACCUCAAGUUCAUCCUCAGGUCUUCAUUCUACCAAACUGGGUGAUAUCACACUUCCUGUUGUACCAGGAAUAGCUUCUGGGGAGGGUUGUUCCAUUCACGGUGGCUGUGCAUCUUGUCCAUACAUGAAGAUGAACUCUCUUACCUCACUCCUGAAUGUUUGCCAUCACCUACCCGAUGAAGAAAAUGUACUUUCUGCAUACAAGGCAGAGCAAUUUAAGUUGCAAACUCCAAAUGGCAAAUCAGUGGCAGACGUUGGAUGUGAACCAAUUUUGCACAUGAGGAACUUCCAGGCUACUAAAAAGCUUCCAGAGAAGCUGGUUGAUCAGAUUCUUCAUCCCCAAGACAGUAGAAGGUCGAUGUGAUGAACUUGAGAAAUAAUGUGAUGUGAAGACCCGCUGUCUUGUGAGCACUUCCAAGUUACAACAAACGCUAGGAGCUUGUGGAGAGUAAAUAGAUACAGCAUGGGUUCUACUAAUGGACUGAGCACUACACAUGGGAAACAGCCUCUAUUUUCUUUUGGAUUUAUAUCUGAUGUGCAGUAUGCUGACAUUCCUGAUGGUCGUUCAUUCCUUGGUGUUCCGCGGUACUAUAGGCAUAGCAUUCUUGUGUUACAGAGAGCAGUAAAAGAAUGGAAUACUAGCCAGAGGCACAAGUUUGUGAUAAAUCUUGGAGAUAUUGUUGAUGGAUAUUGUCCAAAAGAUCAAUCUUUUAACACUGUAAAGAAAGUUGUGGAUGAAUUUGCGAUGUUCAAGGGACCUGUGUAUCAUUUGAUUGGCAAUCACUGCCUAUACAAUCUGCCUCGCAGCAAGUUACUUCCAUUAUUGAAGAUUCAGAGUUUUGAAGGUCAUGCUUACUAUGAUUUUUCACCAGUACCUGAAUAUAGAUUUGUAGUUCUAGAUGGGUAUGACAUAAGUGCCAUUGGUUGGCCCCAAGAUAAUCCAAAAACAUUGGAGGCCUUGGAGUUCCUCCGGGGUAAGAAUCCAAAUGAAGACAAGAACAGUCCAACAGGUUUGGUGGGCCUUGAAAGAAGGUUUCUUAUGUUCAAUGGAGCUGUUGGAAAGGAACAAAUGGAUUGGCUAAAUGGAGUUCUUCAGGAUGCAACAAAUUUGAAACAGAAGGUGGUGAUUUGUUGCCAUCUGCCUCUAGAUCCUGGUGCAUCAUCCAAGGAGGCACUAUUGUGGAAUUAUGAUGAAGUAAUGAAUUUGAUACACAGAUACAAUUGUGUGAAGGUCUGUAUAUCUGGACAUGAUCACAAAGGAGGAUACUCCAUUGAUUCCCAUGGAAUACACCAUAGAGUUCUUGAAGCUGCCCUGGAAUGUCCUCCUGGCACGUAUGCAUUUGGACAUGUUGAUGUUUAUGAUGAUAGAAUAUCACUUCAUGGUAGGGACAGAAUGCAAAGUACAGACAUGUAUUUUAAUCAUAAAGCAGUUUUGUGAUGACAAGAUGUGUUGAUAUUUGUAAGACACCUAUUCGUCUAUUGACAUUAGAGAAUACGAUGCUCUUGAUGCAAGUCCUAUUCACAAGGAACUUCAAGUAUCGGAAGUUGGAAUGACCUAGUUGAGUUGAGUAACUUGCAUACAAUGAUGCGACAAGUCAUCAACAUCGGUGGAGGUUGCCUCAGAAAUGAUUUGCCAGUGAAAUUUUUAUCGUUUUAGUAAAACUAUUAGGAUGCUUUUUCUCGAUAUAUAUACAAUCGAUGAAAAACUGUUGUGAAAAUGAUCAAGUGAAUACUCUUAUUUAUUACAAUAGUUGUAUCAUUAGUACUCAAAUUUGAUUACAUUCUACGUGACUUCUCAAACAACUUAGGUCCAAGCUAAAAACUAGCUCCUGGACCAAGUAAUUUAACACUUUUAUUACUUUUGAUUUAAUCCUCUUCCUCAUAUAAUAAGUUUUUUGG